rnacentral:ncRNA from 1 species
UACCCAGGCUCGAACCGUCCCCGUAUGGGGUGCUUGCCAAGCAAUCGCUUGGAUAGGUCUGGGGAAGCG